UUUAUGGAGAGUUUGAUCCUGGCUCAGGAUGAACGCUGGCGGCGUGUCUAAUACAUGCAAGUCGAGCGAACGGACGAGAAGCUUGCUUCUCUGAUGUUAGCGGCGGACGGGUGAGUAACACGUGGAUAACCUACCUAUAAGACUGGGAUAACUUCGGGAAACCGGAGCUAAUAC
rnacentral:rRNA from 1 species